rnacentral:rRNA from 1 species
AUUGAACGCUGGCGGCAGGCCUAACACAUGCAAGUCGAGCGGAUGAAGGGAGCUUGCUCCUGGAUUCAGCGGCGGACGGGUGAGUAAUGCCUAGGAAUCUGCCUGGUAGUGGGGGAUAACGUCCGGAAACGGGCGCUAACACCGCAUACGUCCUGAGGGAGAAAGUGGGGGAUCUUCGGACCUCACGCUAUCAGAUGAGCCUAGGUCGGAUUAGCUAGUUGGUGGGGUGAAGGCCUACCAAGGCGACGAUCCGUAACUGGUCUGAGAGGAUGAUCAGUCACACUGGAACUGAGACACGGUCCAGACUCCUACGGGAGGCAGCAGUGGGGAAUAUUGGACAAUGGGCGAAAGCCUGAUCCAGCCAUGCCGCGUGUGUGAAGAAGGUCUUCGGAUUGUAAAGCACUUUAAGUUGGGAGGAAGGGCAGUAAGUUAAUACCUUGCUGUUUUGACGUUACCAACAGAAUAAGCACCGGCUAACUUCGUG